CUCGGUUUGUUUCUCAAAAACCUGCAAAGAUUGUGUUAUCAAGUAUGUAAGUUGUUGCUCAUUCGAUGAGCUUCAAGACACACAUUCGAAAUUACAAGAUGAGAGUAGAAGGGCUUUCUGCUAAUAAGAAGUCCCAUUUUUCCGUUAUCUUGGAAGUUUUUCAAGUGACCUCCAAUUUUGUGAUGGUUGACAUUCAGAAAGCAGCAGGAGAUGGUGUUGAAU